GCAGCGGGGACACAGGUGCAGUGGGGACACAGGUGCAGCGGGGACACAGGUGCAGUGGGGACACAGGUGCAGUGAGGCCACAGGUGCAGCGGGGACACAGGUGCAGCGGGGACACAGGUGCAGGUGCAGUGAGGACACAGGUGCAGCGGGGACACAGGUGCAGUGAGGACACAGGUGCAGCGGGGACACAGGUGCAGCGAGGCCACCUUCCUUGACGUUUUUUCCCCAUUAGUUCCCUUGAAAUUCUUGACCUAUUUUCUUCCGAGUGAAUUAACAUUUUUUCCAGCUCUGUGGAGUCAUUUCUUGGGCAUUUGAGUGGUUCGGCACUGAAUAAGGAGAUUGAUAAAAAUGACAAUUCUUCCUUAAUCAUAUUCCUUCGGCCUACCCACGAGCACUCGAUAUUCUUCCACUUGAUUAGAUCCGACUUUAUUUGUGUGGAAAGCCUUUUGUAGUUGUGUUCCGGUGCUUCCUGACUGUCUUGGCAGGGAGAUUCCGUAUUACCCACAGUCAUUUUGAGUGGAAUUUUUCUUGCCACGGGGCUGUCAGUAACAGAAAUGCUGGAGAUUUCUGUGGACUCUGUUUGCGUCCUGCCACCUCGCUGCUUUUCUAGGAGUUUCUUAGUCUCUGCCACCAUCUGCAAAGAGUGAUCAUCGGCUUCCCUCCUUUUCUUCUCUUAUUGCCAAAGUGCUCAUUUCUAACACAGUGUUGAAGCGGAGUGGGGAUGGGGACACCUUGUGGCCCCCAUGGCUUCCGACUUUCUCUGUUUCAUGGCACGCUGAUGGUUUUAGGUCCAUGCCGGGCUCUCGUAGUCUCUUCAGAACAGAAAUAGAUAAGAAUUGGGCAGAUGGAGCUUCCUGGGCCCACCCGUGCGAAAGGCUCACCGUUUGGGGUCCAAGUUCUUAGAGCGCGUGAGCCCCUCGGGAAGGUUCCCUGGACGGCUGCUACAUCCGGAACGGAAAUCUCUGGGGAAAACGCGGGAAGCUUGCUUGGAAUUGACAAAAGCCUCCAGGUCUGGAAGGGUACGAGUGCCCGAGGCUCUCAGUGGGGGGUCCGCCCUUAGCCAGCACCUGGAGGAAGCUGGGGGGCCCCGGGCCGGGACAGAACCUUUAGGGGUGAGCAGCGAGUCCGGUCACCUUGGAAAGCGUGGCCGCUCUUGGCCCGAGUCCUUGUCUAAAAUAUCCCCCUGACCUCCGACCCCUGCUCUCUCCACCGCAGCCUCUUUUUGGGACAGGGUUGGGCCAGCGCUGCUGGGGCUCCCUCGGAGACUCCCAGCCACGGGUGUAAAAGUGGAGUAAGCGGCGUCUCCUUGUGUCCUUCUGCCUGAAUCCCCACGUGGCAGUGACCCGAGUAAAAUCCUGGGUUGUCAGAGGCUGCAGAGGCCGUCGGGGCUUGUGGGAGGCCGAGAAAAUGAGCAUGUCCAUGGCCGCCAAGCGAGGGGGGAAGGGGAGGAGAUCCCUCUCUGGUGUCCCGGCAGGGUCGAGGGCUGGUGUGCGCCCCCGGGGGGCCGCUCCGAGAGAAACCUUUGGAAGGGGAAAGAGGAUGGUCACUGAGGAUGGCCAGAGAGGUCAUGGUGUUGGACCACAAUGGGGCCCAGUCAGCCUAAGGCUGGUGUCCCCAGUGCGGGGGGAGGGGGCGGGAGAAGGAUGACUGUGUGUGUG